rnacentral:rRNA from 1 species
UACGAAGGGGGCUAGCGUUGUUCGGAAUUACUGGGCGUAAAGCGCACGUAGGCGGCUUUGUAAGUUAGAGGUGAAAUCCCGGGGCUCAACCUCGGAAUUGCCUUCGAUACUGUUAGUCUUGAGUCCGGGAGAGGUGAGUGGAAUUCCUAGUGUAGAGGUGAAAUUCGUAGAUAUUAGGAAGAACACCAGUGGCGAAGGCGGCUCACUGGCCCGGUACUGACGCUCAUGUGCGAAAGCGUGGGGAGCAAACAGG